UGAUCACUGGAAUCCCCUAACUUGGUCUGUUGCAACAAGCUCAUCAAUUGAUCAUAGUGAUGCCUGCUCAACCCUGGUAUCAUAGAGCUGUGACCAUCUAUGUGUGUAACACUAUGAUGGCUGGCAGGAGGAUCCCCAAGAGGAACGUACAAAUUAGGAUUCCCAUGAUUAACAGACACACAUUCCUCACCAGUGGAGACAUGAGCAGCUG
rnacentral:lncRNA from 1 species